rnacentral:misc_RNA from 1 species
GAUGAAGAACGUAGCGAAACGCGAUAUGUAAUGUGAAUUGCAGAAUUCAGUGAAUCAUCGAAUCUUUGAACGCACAUGGCGCCUUCCAGUAUCCUGGGAGGCAUGCCUGUCCGAGCGUCGUUUCAACCCUCGAGCCCCCGUGGCCCGGCGUUGGGGAUCUGCCCAGGCAGUCCCCGAAAACCAGUGGCGGACCCGUUACAGGCCCUUCCCUUGCGUAGUAGCAUUCGCCUCGCAUCGGGAGCCGGCGGGCUUCCAGCCUCUAAACCCCCAUCAAGUCCGCCCCGGCGGCACCAAGGUUGACCUCGAAUCAGGUAGGAAUACCCGCUGAACUUAAGCAUAUCAAUAAGCGGAUGA